rnacentral:tRNA from 1 species
AGAAAGAUAAGCUAAUUUCAAGCUAAUGGGUUCAUACCCCAUAUAUAGAGGUUCUAAAUCCUCUUCUUUUUA